CGGGUGAGUAACACGUGAGGAACCUGCCCCGAAGACCGGGAUAACGACCGGAAACGGUCGCUAAUACCGGAUGUCCCCACCGGAUCGCAUGGUCUGGUGAGGAAAUGGAUUCCGCUUCGGGAGGGCCUCGCGGCCUAUCAGCUUGUUGGCGGGGUAACGGCCCACCAAGGCGUCGACGGGUAGCUGGUCUGAGAGGACGACCAGCCACACUGGGACUGAGACACGGCCCAGACUCCUACGGGAGGCAGCAGUGGGGAAUCUUGCGCAAUGGGCGAAAGCCUGACGCAGCAACGCCGCGUGCGGGAUGAAGGCCUUCGGGUUGUAAACCGCUUUCAGCAGGAACGAAAUUGACGGUACCUGCAGAAGAAGCACCGGCCAACUACGUGCCAGCAGCCGCGGUAAUACGUAGGGUGCAAGCGUUGUCCGGAUUUAUUGGGCGUAAAGAGCUCGUAGGCGGCUUGGCAAGUCGGGUGUGAAAACCUCAGGCUCAACCUGGGGCUGCCACUCGAUACUGCUAUGGCUUGAGUCUGGUAGGGGAUCACGGAAUUCCUGGUGUAGCGGUGAAAUGCGCAGAUAUCAGGAGGAACACCGGUGGCGAAGGCGGUGAUCUGGGCCAGUACUGACGCUGAGGAGCGAAAGCGUGGGUAGCAAACAGGAUUAGAUACCCUGGUAGUCCACGCCGUAAACGUUGGGUACUAGGUGUGGGACCUUAUCAACGGGUUCCGUGCCGCAGCUAACGCAUUAAGUACCCCGCCUGGGGAGUACGGCCGCAAGGCUAAAACUCAAAGGAAUUGACGGAAUCGA
rnacentral:rRNA from 1 species